rnacentral:rRNA from 1 species
UACGUAGGGUCCAAGCGUUAAUCGGAAUUACUGGGCGUAAAGCGCGCGUAGGCGGCUUUGUAAGUUAGAGGUGAAAGCCCGGGGCUCAACCCCGGAAUUGCCUUUAAGACUGCAUCGCUUGAAUCCGGGAGAGGUGAGUGGAAUUCCGAGUGUAGAGGUGAAAUUCGUAGAUAUUCGGAAGAACACCAGUGGCGAAGGCGGCUCACUGGACCGGUAUUGACGCUGAGGUGCGAAAGCGUGGGGAGCAAACAGG